rnacentral:sRNA from 1 species
UUUUUUGGAUUUUUUU